GAUGAACGCUGACAGCAUGCUUAAUACAUCAGCAAUUGAUUGGUGGCGGACGGGUGUGUAACGCGUAAAGUACUUGCCUCGCAGGUAGGGACAACAUUUGGAAACGCAUGCUAAUACCUAAUAAUGUGUGAGUGCUUUGCGUCCCAUUAGCUAGUUGGAGAGGUAACGGCUCACCAAGGCGAUGAUGGGUCGCAGGCCUGAGAGGGUGAGCGGCCAAAAGUGGACUGGGACACGGCCCUUGCGCCUACUGGAGGAAGCAGUGGAGAAUAAUGGAGAAUGGACGAGAGUCUGAUCCAGCUAUUCUGUGUGCACGAUGAAUUUUUAGGAAGGAAGAGUGCUUUCAUUUAAGAAGCGGUACCAACAGAAGAAGUGACGGCUAAAUACGUGCCAGCAGCCGCGGUAAUUC
rnacentral:rRNA from 1 species